CCUACGGGUGGCAGCAGUGGGGAAUAUUGGACAAUGGGGGCAACCCCGAUCCAGCCAUGCCGCGUGUGUGAAGAAGGCCCUCGGGUUGUAAAGCACUUUCAGUGAGGAAGAACGCCUGGUGGUUAAUACCCAUCAGGAAAGACAUCACUCACAGAAGAAGCACCGGCUAACUCCGUGCCAGCAGCCGCGGUAAUACGGAGGGUGCGAGCGUUAAUCGGAAUUACUGGGCGUAAAGCGCGCGUAGGUGGCUUGAUAAGCCGGUUGUGAAAGCCCCGGGCUCAACCUGGGAACGGCAUCCGGAACUGUCAAGCUAGAGUGCAGGCGAGGAAGGUAGAAUUCCCGGUGUAGCGGUGAAAUGCGUAGAGAUCGGGAGGAAUACCAGUGGCGAAGGCGGCCUUCUGGACUGACACUGACACUGAGGUGCGAAAGCGUGGGUAGCAAACAGGAUUAGAUACCCCGGUAGUC
rnacentral:rRNA from 1 species